rnacentral:lncRNA from 1 species
GUGUCCCCCGAGCAGGUUCCGGACCACCUCGCAGCGCCGCGUCCUUAGGGGCGGGCUCGGGGGGCACCACCCUCGAGGGGCGGAACCCGUGGGGGCGGUGGCGUGGAUCCGGAGGUACCUGGUUUCUGAGCAAGAUGCUUGCAUGAAAGAUUCAAUCUAAGGCCAAUGCAAAAAUAUUGUGAAAGCAGCAGGAUCAGCUAGCCUUCCAGUUGGCUUCUUAAAUGCUGCAUUGAAAGGAUGAAACAGAACGGAUGUGAACAAGAGUUCCCUGAGAAAGGACAGCUCUUAGAGAGAUAGGAUAAUUACUGGACUCAAGAAGAUACCAAAUCAUGAACACUUGCUCUGGGGAAAGCCAGCUGCCAUAUUGUGAGCAGACCUAUGAAAAGGCCCACUUGGUGAAGAACUGAGGCCUCUGGCUGAUGGACACAUGGGUGACCUUGCAAUCAAGUCUUCUGGCUUCAACCAAGCCUUCAGCUGAGACUGCAGCCUCAUGAAAGAUCCUGAGCUAGAAGCAUCCUGCCAUCCUAAUAAGCCACUCUUGAAUUUCUGACCCUUAAAAAUUGUGAGAUAAGCACCUGUGCUUUUUUUAAGUGUUAGAUUUAAAAAACCCUGAAAAAAUAAAGAAGAAAAAAGACAACUCAUAAUCUCACCACAUUAAAAAGAAUAGCUAUAGAAAAAUUCCAGUAGUAUAAAAAGGAAAAAUGGAAAUAACUUCCCACCAUCCCUGAUCUUUAGUUCUUUUUCCCACAGUGACAUUUUCUUUCCCAAGAAAUGUUCAUGCAUAUGCAAUAUAUGUGUAAACCCUUUAAGAUGUUCACAAAAGGAUCAUGUUACACUCAUUCGAAAAACUUAAUAUUAUAUCUUGAAGGUGUCUUCAUAUCAGUAUAUAUAUAUCUAUCUUAGUUUGUUAAUAGAUUUCCCAUAAUUUAAAUGUACCAUAUUUCUUUUACCAGUCCCCAUAUAUGGACAUUUAGGAUAUUUCCAGUAUUCUUUUCUGUUAUAAAAAUAUGGUGAUAAACAUUUUCAUGCUUUUUUGAGUAUCUUCAAGUAAAGUCCUAUGGGUAGCAUUCUGGCAUCACGUUGUAUAUGCAUUUAAAGUUGAUGCUAUUCACUUGUUCCACAAUCUUUGCUCCGAGUUUACACUGAUGAAGCAUGAGAAUGCUAUAUCCCCACAAACCUGUGCAUAUUGUUGAUAGUAAGCAUUGUUUGCUAUUUUCUGACUAUUCAUUUUUCUUCUUUUGAGAAUUGCCAUGCCUAGAAGAGUGCCUGUCUUGUAAUAUAUAAGAUAAUAACUUGAUAGCUAGCAUUUCUGAGGCUUCUUGUGCCUUUAACGUAUAUUUACUGUUUUGAUACUUACAAAGACCCUAUGAAGUACGUACUAUUAUUAUCUGCUUAUGGCUGGUGGGAAAACUGAGCUGUACAGAAUUUAAACAAACUGUCCCAGGUCACACAACUAGGAAGGGUGGAGCCAGGAUGCAAAUGAUACGGAAUUUUAAAAAAUGGGUAGUUGAGUGAAUGAAUAAAUGGAUGACCUGUUUACAUCCUUUCUCAUUUUUAAUUGAAUUUUGUUUCUUUUUCUUUCUUAUUUGUAGGAUCUUUGUAUAUAUUAUGAACAUCAACUUCUUUCCUUUUCUACAUGUUGCAGAUAUUCCCUCUGGUCUGUUAUUUGUCUUUAACUUAUUUAUUUGCCACCUUUUGAUAUUCAUUUCUUAUUCACAUUAGAAAACCCUCAAAGUACUUAAAACUAUGACUCCAGAUAUUGUUGUUAGAACAUGUUUGAGGAAAAUAGUGAUGAUAAUUUAGGUGUACAGAGAAAUUCUGACGUGGGUAAUACAGAGUCUCCCUAAGUUAAUCUAAACAUGAAAAAUAACCACAGGGGAAUUAGUCGCUUUGUUCACACUGCGGUACUUUAACAUUAUAAUUCCCCUUUAGGCAUAUUUAUAAUUGAAAAAGAAGGUGUUGGGGGCUUUUAUAUUAUUAGAUUGACAUUUGGGGAAAUGAAUUUUUACUUUAUCUGCAACAAAUGAAUCCCAAUUAGUUAAGUGGCUCUGGGCUAAAGGAAGUAUAGUGACUUUCUCAUUUUCUUUCUACUUUUUGAAAUGCCCUUCCUUCCCAUUCCUAUGAACUUCUCUCAUCCUGCUGAGCCAAGUC